rnacentral:rRNA from 1 species
GAUUAUGUAUCGUUUGAGGGCCCUAGGAGAUGACUAGGUUGAUAGGCACUACGUGGAAGCGCAGUAAUGCGUUGAGCGAAGGUGUACUAAUUGCCCGAUUCCUAUUAGGAA